AUGGCGCAAUUGAUUUGUCUGAGCUUUAGGGGAAGCACGGCGACGCCGCUGACAGAAGUCAGAUUCACUGCACCCAGGUGUCCUUUUUUUUCAAAUCAAAGCUCUGAGCCUUGCUCUUGUGAAGUGUUGAGAAAUCCGAAGAUGGAGGAUUUAAAAGGUUUGCCGCUGACUGUCUUUGGUUCUCUGCGUUACAGCGAACUGGCACCUUUUCUAACUGUGCCUCUUUCAUGUCUGCCUGCAGGUGAUGUGGCCCCCUACUUCAAAACGGAGCCGGGACCUCCAGAGAUCCACCUAGAAGGGAACCGUCUGGUCAUGACCUGCCUGGCGGAGGGCAGCUGGCCUCUGGAGUUCAAAUGGAUACUCAACAACACAGAUAUCACAGCCUUCUCCCCCGAGUACAAGUACACCAUCUCCUCUCUCCAACGCUCCAAUAUGGGCGUUUAUCAGUGUGUGGUGAGAAACAGGAUGGGCGCUCUGCUUCAGAGAAGAGCCGAGAUACAAGUGGCAUAUAUGGGAGACUUUCUCGACAAUGACCAAAGAAAGACAGUGACACAGGGCCGGGCCGCCAUCCUAAACUCCCCAGCAGUCAGUUGCUUCCCGCGGCCACAGGUGACAUGGUUCAGGGACGGUUACAAGAUCAUUCCAAGCAACAGAGUAGCCAUAACGUUGGAGAACCAGCUAGUGGUGCUCGCCACGGCCGCGGUGGACGCCGGGAGGUACUACGUACAGGCUGUUAAUGAGAAGAAUGGAGAAAACAAGACAAGCCCAUCCAUUUACCUGAAUGUGGCAGAUUCAGAGGCCCCCGCGGACCCUGUGGCUCCAGUGAUUGUAAUCCCACCCCGAAACACUACAGUGGUGGCCGGGGUCAGUGAGGCCACACUGGAGUGUGUUGCUAAUGCACGUCCGGUUGAGAAGCUCAGUUUGGUGUGGCGGAGAAACUCUGUGGAAGUGGCCAGUGGCGUGGGCUCCUUCGGCCGGCGCUUGACCAUCAUCAACCCAACGAGUGCCGAUGUGGGCAUGUACGUGUGCGAAGCCUCACUUUUGGACAGCAGCGUGAAACCGGCAGAGGCCAGAGCCUUCCUCUCCAUCACAGAGGCACCCUAUUUCACCGCUGAGCCCAGGAGAAAGAUGAUGGGAGAGGUGGAGAAAAGCGUGGAUAUCCAGUGCCAAGCUCGAGGGGUGCCCAUGCCGAAGCUGGAGUGGUAUAAGGAUGCCGUGCCCCUCAGUAAACUCAACAACCCUCGCUACAAGGUCAUUUCCAGCAUGGGGCUUCAGGUCAGGAAGCUACAGCCCAGCGAUGCCGGAAUCUUCCAGUGCUUCGCCAGGAACUCGGCCGGAGAGGCUCAGGUCCACACUUACCUGGACAUCACUAGUAUGGCUCCGGGCUUCACCGCGGCACCGGUCGACAUCACUGUCACAGAUGGAGCGGUGGCCAUGUUCACCUGUCAGGUAUCUGGGGCCCCUAAACCUGCCAUCACAUGGAAGAGAGGUAAAGCUAGUAUCCUUGCCAGCGGUUCGGUGCAAAUUCCACGUUUCACCCUGCUGGAGUCCGGCGGUCUGCAGAUUCAACCGGUGGUGCUGCAGUACACGGGGAUGUACACCUGCUACGCCGCUAACUCAGAAAGAGUAAUCAACGCCAGCGCCUCCCUCACCGUAUGGAGUCGCACGUCCAUAUCCAGGCCUCCCAUGGACAGACGUGUCAUUAAGGGGACCACAGCCAUUUUGGAGUGCGCCGCCACCCACGACCCGCGUGUGGCAGUGAGGUACGUGUGGAAAAAGGAUGAGGAGUUAGUGAGCCAGACCAGAGGGGGGCGUAUCACCCUGCAGGAGGGCUCCUUGCACAUCAGUCAAACCUGGUCCGGGGACAUCGGGGACUAUACCUGUGACGUCAUCUCUCAAGCCGGCAACGACUCCAAGGCGGCCCGUCUGGAGGUCAUAGAGCUGCCACAUUCGCCCCGAAACCUACAGGCCAGCCUGAACGCCAACGACAGCCGCAGCGUGGAUCUGUCCUGGAUGAGACCCUUCGAUGGAAACAGCCCCCUACUGCAUUAUGUGGUGGAGCUUUCAGAGAACAAUUCUCCCUGGAGAGUGUAUUUGCCUGAUGUGGACCCCACCGUGACUGGAGCCAUGGUGAAGGGCCUGACUCCGGCCCGCUCGUACCAGUUCAGAGUUUGCGCAGUCAAUCAGGUUGGCAAGGGACAGUACAGCACCGAAACCAACAGAUUGACGCUGCGAGAGGAACCGCCCAGCGCUCCGCCCAAGAACAUCGUAGCCAGCGGCAGAACCAACCAAUCCAUUAUGGUGCAGUGGCAGCCACCUCCGGAGCCUCAGCUCAAUGGAGUCUUGAGAGGCUACGUCCUCAGGUACCGGCUCGCCGGGCUCCCUGGAGAGUACCAGCAGAAGAACAUCACCAGCCCUGAGAUCAACUACUGCCUGAUCACAGAGCUCAUCAUCUGGACCCAGUAUGAGAUUCAGGUGGCCGCGUAUACCGGGGCAGGCCUGGGCGUCUUCAGUCAGCCUGUCACUGAGUACACGCUACAGGGAGUUCCCACAGCUCCCCCUCAGGGUGUGGAGGUCAAGGCAGUAAACUCAACCACAAUUGAAUUUACCUGGAAUCCACCGCCUCAGCAGUUCAUCAAUGGCAUUAAUCAAGGUUACAAGCUGAUGGCGUGGCCUGAACGAUCUCCAGAGGAUGUUAUCAUCGUGACCAUCACCCCUGAUUAUCACGGGACACGCCACCUCGGUUACAUCAGCGGUCUAAAAAAGUUCACCUGGUACUUGACGUCAGUGCUGUGUUUUACCACACCAGGGAAUGGACCCCGCAGUGUCCCCAAACUGGUGCAGACUCACGAGGACAUUCCAGGCCCUGUUGGUCGCUUGAGCUUUACAGAGAUUUUGGACACGUCUCUGAGAGUGAGCUGGGAGGAACCCGUGGACAAGAACGGCAUUGUUACUGGUUACCUGGUGUCCUGGGAAGUUCAGGGGAAGAACCAAUCGCGAGUGGCGCGUACUUUGACCAACUCCACGUUGGACUACAAGGUCACCGGUCUGACGUCCCUCACUACGUACACGCUAGAGGUGGCAGCUAUGACGGAGGCGGGCGUAGGAACUGUAACUUCCUCCACCAUUUCAUCCGGAGUGCCACCAGAACUUCCCGGGCCUCCAUCAAAUUUGGUUAUUUCCAAGAUCAGUUCACGAUCUGCUACGCUGAAGUUCCGUGCAGGGGAUGAUGGGAAGACGACCAUCUCCAAGUGGAUCGUUGAGGGGCAGGUUGGCAGUAUCGGUGAAGAGGAAGAGUGGAAGGUGUUGUACGUGAAAGAGAAUGACCCUGAAGCUCAGGUGCUGGAGGUGCCCAAUCUCACACCGUUCACACACUACAGGUUCCGAAUGCGUCAGGUGAAUAUUGUGGGCCCGAGUCCGGUGAGCGUGCCGUCCCGUGUAAUUCAAACCCUGCAGGCUCCUCCAGACAAGGCGCCCAGCAGUGUGACGGUGCGCACGGCCAGUGAGACCAGCCUCUGGCUACGCUGGGUGCCACUGCCGGAGACUGAGUACAAUGGAAACCCGGAGAGCGUGGGCUACAGGGUCAGAGUGUUGCGAGCGGACCUGCGGGGUGAGGCCAGCACACGAUUGGUGAACGACAGACUGGAGAGGGAGAUCACCCUGGAGGGUCUGGAGGAGUGGACCGAAUACCAGCUGCAGAUCCAGGCCUUUAAUUCCAUAGGCCCCGGGCCCUGGAGUGAGCCUUUGAAGGGACGUACGCGUGAGUCAGUGCCAUCGGGGGCUCCGGAAAAUGUGACGGUGGAGGCCAUGAGCUCCAGUCGCAUCCUGGUAACCUGGGGCUCGGUUCCUGAGCAUGAGCAGAAUGGCAACAUCCUCGGAUAUAAGGUUAUGUACAAAGAGAAAGACUCAGAUUCGGAGGCACAGGUGAAUGUGGUUAAAGGCAACCUGACACAGUCUGUCUUACUGAGGAACCUGCGUAAAUACGUCCAGUAUGAAAUCCAAGUUUUGGCUUUCACACGAAUUGGAGAUGGGCAGCUCAGCAGCCCCCCAGUCUUGGAGAGGACCAAGGAUGAUGUUCCCGGACCACCUAUGAGACUUGUGUUCCCGGAGGUGCGUCUCACAGAAGUGAGGGUGGUCUGGCAACCCCCUGUGGACCCCAAUGGCAUAAUUAUGGGAUACCAGGUAGCUUACCGUCUGGAUUCUGGGGAUCCCAACCAGUUCAUCACAGUAGAGGUGGGCCCUGAUACCCGUCAGUUCACCGCCUCCAACUUGACCCCGGAGUCGGCCUACAUCUUUCGCAUCUCUGCCAAGACGGAGCAGGGCUGGGGAGCACCUGCACAGGCUGUGGUCAUAACUACUGAGAUCAGAGAGCGACCGCAGCCUCCACGGCAGCUGCGGGUGCCUCAGGACCACGUGCAGUCCCGCAAAUUGCAGCUCAACUGGGUGCCCGGAGGGGACGGCUCCUCUCCUGUCCGUUACUUCACCCUGCAGACACGGGAGCUGCCCAGAGGAGACUGGCUCACCCAUUCUUCUGCUAUAAGCCACAAUUAUACCUCCUGGGAAGUGGACAGGCUGAAACCCUUCACUUCAUACAAGCUCAGAAUGAUGGCGACUAAUGACGUCGGCGACAGCAAGUACAGCCAAGAGACGGAUGCAAUUACCACUUUACAAGAUGUUCCUGAUGAAUCGCCCACAAUUCAAGCCGUCAAACCCUCCACGACAACAUCCGUGCUUGUGCAGUGGCAGACGCCCAAGGAGGAGAGUGUGAAUGGGGUUCUGGUGGGCUAUCGGCUCUACUACCGCGAGCUGCAGUAUGACAGCGCACCGCAGGAGUCAAAGCGGGCCGUCAACAGCUCCUUGCUGCGCACCGAACUGACAGCCAAAAGCACUGUGAAGACUGUCAGCAAUCCUUCAUUAACCGAAUUCGAGCUAACACAGCUGCAGAAAUACAGACGCUAUGAAAUUGUGAUGACUGCCUACAACGUCAUUGGCGAAAGCCCUCCAAGUGCUCCAGUAGAGGUGUUUGUUGGAGAAGCAGCUCCCUCUGUGGCUCCUCAGAACAUCCAGAUCAACACUUUGUCAUCCACACAGCUGGAGGUGCAGUGGGAGCCGCCCCCUGCCGAGACCCAAAAUGGCAUUAUUCAGGGAUAUAAGAUUCUUUACUGGGAGAUGGACAAUCAGAAUGAAACAGAGAGAGUUAAGAUUCUCUUCCGGCCUGAAACCAACAUGAGACUGAAGAACCUGACCAGCUACACAUACUAUAUGGUCAAGCUGUCCGCCUUCAAUGCUGCUGGAGACGGUCCCUUCAGUGAGCCCAGGAGGGGGCGCACUCUUCAGGCAGCCCCCAGCGCUCCCAGCUUCAUCAGUUUCUCCGAGGUGACCAGCAGCACUCUGAACGUGUCCUGGGGUUUCCCGCUGUCCCCCAACGGUGUGGUGGAAGGCUACAGGGUGGUAUAUGAGCCCAGCGCCCCUAUUCAAGGUGUGACUAAAGUGGUAACGGUGGAUAUCCGUGGCAGCUGGCAGCGCUGGCUGAAGGUGCGUGACCUGACCAAGGGUGUAACCUAUUGCUUCCGCGUGCAGGCCAAGACUAUUGCCUACGGGCCUGAGGCAGAGGCCAACAUUACAGCGGGUCCUGUCAAAGGGUCUCCUGGAUCUCCUGUAGAAAUGUCAAUCUCAAAGACAGGAUCCAUGCUCAACAUCCACUGGACACCAGGAGAUACAGGAGCAGGACAUGUGACCGGCUAUGUGAUCGAGGCACGCCCAUCAGAUGAAGGGAUGUGGGAUACGUUUGUGCGGCACUUGCCUCCCACCAGCACCUCUCACUCAGUGAGUCUAGACCGCCUGCGGCAGGGUAUCAGCUACCAGUUCAGAGUGCUGGCCGUCAACGAGUUCGGCUACGGCGAGCCGAGUGCACCCUCUGCUGCCAUGUCAGGCCAACAUGACACCCCGUUUUAUGAGGAGUGGUGGUUUCUCAUCGUGCUGGCGUUGUGUGGCCUGAUUCUGCUGUUGCUGGUGGUUUUCGGUCUCGUCUUGCACGGACAGAACAGGAAGUACAAGAGCUGUGGAACAGGUAAAGCUGUGUCCACGGUGGAGGAGACAGUCACGCUGGACAAUGGAGGCUUCACGGCUCUAGAGCUCAACAGCAGGCCCGUUCAUGUCAAGAGUGUGUUCUUGAGGAAGAACGGCACCAGCAGGUCCCCUCCCCGUCCCAAUCCAGCCGGACUGCGCUAUUCCGACGAAGACAUCUGUAGCAACUACAACGGCGUGGUUUCCACAGAGAGCACUGCACUGACUGAGAGGCCUGCAGAGAUAUCAGAGUCUGAGGCCACAGACAGCGAGUGCGAAGAGGAGCCGAUCAAACACUCGUUCGUGAAUCACUACAUGAGCGACCCAUCAUACUUCAACUCGUGGAAGCGGCAGCAGAAGGGGCUGAAGCAGACGCUGGCCUGUUCCUAUGAUGAAUGUGCCAGCGGGGACACCGAAUCCUACUAUCAGACAGUGGUCACACAGCACAGCGUUGGCGGGGUCUACACCCCCGCCGGCCAGCCCGCACCAGGCUCACGGACUCCCGUCACAGGCUUCUCCUCGUUCGUGUGACACACAAGAGGACCCAGCUCGGACAACGUAGUUGCAGAAGAAAUUCUCUGGUUUCGCACAGUACUAUCACCACGAGCACUACAAGAGACAUCACAUGUGACCGCUCAUCGAGUUGCUGGAUCCUGAAUGUACUCGAUCAAGAUCAUUAUUAAGAGAAGGGGAGAAAAAAAAGAUUUUUAUAUGCCAAUACCGAAGACUAAUCAGAGUUAUUGUUAAUGUACGUGUCCCUCCUGUUUGCAGCCUCGGUUGUGAAAGAUGCAUAAAUGUCUGUGGUUUUAAUGAGCAGGACGCAACAGAAGAUUCCUGUACAUGUGACGAGACAUUCCCGCUCUAAAGAGCGCCAUAUAUUCACACUUAACAUUCCUGCCCUUACCACACUGAAAAGAACUUAAGGAAAAAGCUAAGUGAAAAACACGCUGUAAUUACUGUAUAGUCUUGUCUGAAUAAUCUCAUCUCACUGUCGGUGUCGCUAUAUAUACAUGUUGCACUCGAGAUCGUAAAGGUCAUGAAAUGUAAAUCUUCUCUAAUGGAUUUGAUUUGUGUUCACGUGGCCUGGAUAAUGAAGCACGGUUGUUUUCAGUAUAUUCUCUAUAGACUCACCAGCAAGAAAACCUGCGGAGGCUGUUAGAAGAAGCCAGACAGCUCUGGUUCCCUGCCUCUGUGUAAUCAGACGGUGAGACCGUGCCAGAUGUGUUGUGAUUUGUGCCACUGCUCAUUCUCACACAUAUCAACAAGUUCAUAGGUUUUUUUUUUUUUGGCUUUUACUCUUCUUGUUUUGUUCCUGUCUGUUUGGCCUCGCUUAGGAACUGCAAACACUCACUUGAAAUUAUUUAAUGAACGAUUGUAUGAAUUGUAUGUAAGGAGAUCAGUAUGUGGUUGCUUUGCACAUAUGUUCUGCACUUUUGAGCCAUAAAUAUUUCUGUUUCCUUCUUUUGAUUGAAUAUUUGCUUUUUUACAGGCUUGUAAAAAGUGUAAUUUGACAGUGCGAUUUUAGAAUUAAUUUGUAUGAAUUUUGUUGUUCAUUGUAGUGUUCUUCAGAAGUGACGUACAGUAGUUCCGUUGUUCUUUCACAAGAAGUAUGAAUUUUUGCAGUUCUUGAAAAUGCCAACACAAGAAGUACAGUAAUCAAACAAGAGUGUGCUGUUAUGGAAAUGUUUGUUUCAAUCCCAACAACUGUUUUAGCACAAGUGUAUGUCAUGGACGUUCAUGAAGUAAAGAUUUUUUUAUGAUAAAUUAAAUGUUUGUUGUUCACUUAAAUGCCUCCAACUACAAUGUCAUCUUGAUAAUACGUCAACAUGCACACUAAAUCAUGACAGAAAACAAAAAUUUUGGGAAAGCAUUUAAUCAAAUCAUCACUUUUAUCACAGAAUAAACUGGCUGUAUUUGUAUUUCUGCCUGCUGGC
ensembl:lncRNA